UACUUAUCAGCGUGACUCAGGUUUAUGCAUUUAUAUAGAAUAGAGAAGUGAAGAUAUAUGGUAGAGAAUAAGACUAAAAUAUCGGAGAGAUAAGAGAAGAGAGGUUGAAGCUAUCGACGACUUAGUAGUCUCUUAAGGGUCUUCGAGUUUUGGAUCAUUUCUUAGUCUUCGGCGAAAUGUCUUUACCCCCAUGCAUUAUUCUAAUAUUUAUUAUUUAUGUGUGUGUGUAUUUCUGUGGAUACGGUUUCAUUGCAUUAUUUAGGUGGGGCAGCUUCUUGGUUUGUGGGUUACUGUCUGAAACAAUUUCUCAUCAAGUUUCUGAUCUUCUUCAUCAUCUUUUUUUCAUCAU